CAUAGAUCUGUUAUUUUAUGCGCAGACUUUCAUGUAAUUUUCGUUUGCCUUAGAUGAAAAAUUAGAAGAUGAAGCAGGCUUAGCAUGUGAAGCCAAAGGGAGUUUGGUUAAUCAUGCCAAAAUUUGGGAUUUCAAGCCAGAUGUUUGCAAGUGAACUUAAAAGCAAAGGAUGAAAAUUCUAUUAAGCAACACCAAGCUGCACAUUCAGUGAUUAUCAGUCAGUAUAAAUCCCAAGUGUAUAUACAACAAAAUAAUAAAUAUACUUUUAUUCUUUGUCAGAGUAUCUGUCCAAUGCCCAUACUUACAAAAAACAGCAACUCUUUGGUUUCUCAGCAUUCAAAUAUCCUCAUAGAGUUUCGAAUUGCCUGUCGACAGAGAGGACACUUCGGUGAUACCUCACGUUCAACUGAUAUAGCACAGAGUUGGCAACAAACAAGAUGCCCACAUGGAAUGAACGCAGAACGUCUUCUCCUCAUCAAGCAAAUCACACACAACUGUCCAUCAGGCAGGUCUCCUAUCUCCUCAUCUGCAUCAAUCUGUGGGAUAUUGCCAUUGAUAUCAGCAUGGUUUUGCUGCUGAGACUGUCUCUGUUGCCUCCACUCUUUCCACCUAUUCCAGUUCCUCACAACUGCAUACCCGAGAAUACCAAUUGAAAUUGAACCUAGAACAAUACCACUCCACAGCAGUACUUUUGUCUCGAAGGCAAGAUCCACCACCAUUUCAUCUUUAGUCAUAUCUGACAGAAAAUAGGGAAGAUUCUUGCAAGAUUUUAUCUCAAGAACCCCAUUUCUAGAAUUGCAAAUGCCAACAGCAUUGACCUCCUUCCCUAAUGGGAGGAUUUUCUCCUCAUCAAGCAGCCCAACAGGGUAUUCAUGUCCAAAAAGUGCUUGAAGGAAUGUAUAUGGUGAAGCAUCGAUAGGUUGCAACUGAUGAUAAACUGUUAUAAGAGGUAAAGGAUGUCUUGAACCAUCCAUAUUCACAAUAACAUAAUCUGAUUGAGGCCAUCGACCACCUUCAACAAGAACAAAAGGAACCGUUCGCAAUGAGGUUGAUUCUUGUUCCCUCCAAGAUCUGCCAAAGAUAGCUCGUAGAUCAGAAGUCCAUCCAAAGAAACCCUUCCAUUCAUUGAAUAUACACUUCAUAGCAAAUUAGCCAAAAAAAUCCGCAUCAGAUUUCUUUACAACUUGAGAAUCAGUCACACAGCAGUUAGAGAUAUUCCAAAGAAAUAUCAAUUUACCCCUUCAAAAAGAAGUUGUUUCCAACCAAAUAAUUUGUUGUGAUCUUAAAAAUACAAUAUGUUCUCAAAGAGAUUCAAUGUCUUUAAUACAUGACCCAAUAAUCAAGCGGGCCCACGUGACAGACAUGGAUUCUACGUCAUCUAUAUUUCAUCUCUCUUUGCCAUGUCUUCAUUAAGAACAUAUCACUGUAAUUUUAAUUUUCUGGUCAGAUUUUUCAAAGCGAUAUUGUAAACAUGUUCAGACAAGCAUUAGCAUCUUCAUAUCUAUGGCUGUCAAUUGAUCUCUUGUUAAGCAUUCAAAAUAAUUUAUUCCGUCCAUCAAUUACCUAAUAGGCUAGCAGCCCACUGCACCACUAUCUGCGCAUGGUCUAGCAAUCCUAAACCAAUAAAAAGUUUGCAUUUCCAGCCUAACAACCUUCAACUGCACCUCCUACGACAUAUUAGAAGCUCGUGUGGCUGCAAAUUUUAUUGAGUUUUAAUCAUGAUCAACAGUGGCAGAUCUAGAAAAAAAAAUUUCCAGGGUCAAUAUAUAAGCAAAUCAUAUAAUAUACUUGGUGCACUAAAAAAUAAUACACUUAAUACUCAUAUAAAAGCAAUUGAAUUUUAAAUUUAGGAAGAUAAGGCCCAUACCUUUUGUAGGUAAAGAUUAACUUACACCAUAAGCACACAAUA
rnacentral:misc_RNA from 1 species